rnacentral:rRNA from 1 species
AUUGAACGCUGGCGGCAGGCCUAACACAUGCAAGUCGAGCGGAGUGGCGGACGGGUGAGUAAUGCCUAGGAAUCUGCCUGGUACUGGGGGAUAACGUUCGGAAACGGGCGCUAAUACCGCAUACUAUCAGAUGAGCCUAGGUCGGAUUAGCUAGUUGGGGGGGUAAAGGCCUCCCAAGGCGACGAUCCGUAACUGGUCUGAGAGGGUGAUCAGUCACACUGGAACUGAGAGACGGUCCAGACUCCUCAGGGAGGCACGAGUGGGGAAUAUUGGACAAUGGGCGAAAGCCUGAUCCAGCCAUGCCGCGUGUGUGAAGAAGGUCUUCGGGUUGUAAAGCACUUAAAGUUGGGAGGCGGUACCUACAGAAGAAGCACCGGCUAACUACGUGCCAGCAGCCGCGGUAAUUC